CCCUCAGCCUCCUGAGUGCUGGGAUUACAUGCGUGUGCCACCACACCCAGCACCCUGUAACAUUUGUGUGCACUUCCUCAUGUUUCUCCCGGCCCACCCCCAUCCUGUUUGCAUAGUGCUGGGAGGUCUGAGGCGGGUCCUGCUGUCUAGCUGAGUCACAGGAAACAGUCCUCACUGCAAGGUCGUAUACAGGUUUAAGUGCCAGAGGGGGCUUUGAAGAAUCCGGAACCAGGAACGGUCCCUUGAGUUAGGCCUGACCCAGGCUGAAGUCACCGCGGCAAGAGCCCUGAGCGGGAAUCGAGAGCCUUGUGUUCAGCGCUGCCCGCGGGGUGCAGUCCCGGGCAGAGACCGGCGAGGGCUCCCUCCCCAGGGAAGCGGCGACGCCGGCGGGAGGCCCCGGGCGGCCUCGGAGGGCGCGCGGGCGAUGGGCUCGCGGGGCGGGGGGCUGCGAGCGUUGCCUCGGCCGAGACCCCGCCCCGCCCCCGCCUCCCGCAGCGGGCGUGUGCGGCCGAGCGGCGCAGCGCGGUCCCUGCGGCCCGGAUCCCGACGCGAAGACCGCGGCCCCGCACGAAGGCUCGCGAGGGGCGCGGAGUGGCCACUGCGGACGGGACCGAGCGGGGCGGGGAGCCGCGUGGCGAAGCAGCCCCGGAUCUGGGUCAGGUCCGGCGGCACCGGAGGAGAGCCUGCCCUCGGGCUGCAGCCGGAGACAGGUUGGAUCCACGCGGCGGCCGCAGGAAGGGCUCGGAGGGAGGGGCGCCCCGGGCCGGGCGGGUGGGCGCCGGUGACCCUCCCUGAUCCUGGGAUCUCCCUGCCCUAGGGAGGGGGUCUAACAGAUCUGGCUUUCUCCACCCCACGAUCUCGUAGAGCAAGCGGUCACAGUUCAGGGGCAGGCUCUGGAGGAAGCAGAAAAGCUCGGGCGGUGUGGGGUGUGGACCGCAGACCUUGGACGCGCUUAGCAGGAGGGGUGGCGAGCUCCGGCCCACCCUCCGUCCCAACGGGUUCAGUGGGCUCGGAGAGCUCAGGCCCAGCUCCCCUGUCUACCGCGGCGGGGAGAGGUAGAGGACUGCGAAGUUGCAGUCCAUUCCCCGCUCGGUCAUGGCACCCACACCCUGCAGAGUGGCCUUCACCCGCGCUCACCCCAGGUCAGAAGCCUGCCCAUCAGCACACGCGGGUGCCUGCACACACAGGGAAUCUGCCCUCGAAAUGGGAGGCAGAGUUCUGCUCUGCGUCUCACCCCAGUGGACACCCACAGCCACCGAGACUGUACAGAGCAAGGAGCAAGUCCCUGUGUGCAUGUGUGCUUGUUUGUGCAUGGAUGUAAUUGUAUGUUUGAGAGCUCGGAACGUAACAUGUUCCUGAUCCUGUGAACACUGCUGCGCCUGACCCACUGUCAGUGGUUUGUGCGCAUGUCCCUGCACAUACAGGCCCUCCUAUUGCAUGGGUGUGCAGUCGUUAAUAUAAACCUACACAUGUGCAGUAUAAUCCUGCUUGUCGCCUCUCCGCUGAAUGGAAGGGCAUGUGGACACCUGUGAGUGUGCGUGACUGCAUGUUGCCAUGUCCUCUGUGGACCCGCCUGCUGUGAACCUCCUGUGACUGAGUGACUCCUGCAGCCAUGCAAGUUCAUAGCUGUGUGUGUACCUCCCUCCCUCUGGGCUCAGGAGACUGAGAACAGCCCUGUGUAGUGUGCCCUACACACUGGUCCCUCUUAUCUGGGGUGUGUUCCUCCUGCCCAGUCGUAGGGACUGGUCCCUUCUAGCCAUAAGGCCCCCCUCUUCUUGCUGAGCAAACAGGAGGCCCCAGAGGUAAACAGGUGGGCCCCACAGUGAGGGUGGACAGGGGCAGCCUGCCUGGAGCCUCCCGCUGCCCCGGCCCCCAAACCAGGAACAGGUACCCUUCUGCCAGCACCCGGCGGCCCUCCUCUGCCCCUCCUCUGUUCCACUCUGCCCGAUGACAGUGCUGACCUUUGCCUCUUGAGUAAACCCUCCAGAUUCCUGUUUUCCCUGUGGCUCUCUCCUGACUCCUCCCUUCCCUUCAAGGCCAGGUAGUUAAUAUUUGACCUGGAAGCUUUAGGAGGCAGCUCAGGCCACCUCCACUCCCAGCCCAGCUCAGAAAGCCCCUCAGAGUGAGGGCCCUGCCGCCUGCGCCCACCUCAUACCCAGUGGUUGGCUUGAGAGAGGGUCCGGGUUGGGGAGCAGUCUCAAGAUGGACUGGGGCGCUGGUCAAGAGCUCGGGGCCCAGCGUCCACUUGGGGCACACGGCUUAGGUCUCUUGGCUGCUCCUGGCCCUUACACAGUGCAUCGCACCCUCCCGCACAGACUUCGUCGUGCAGCUAGGGGGCACCCAGAGGCCCACCCGCCCAGGCUGCCACCCCAGGCCCGUGAGUGCCUGCUGUCAGGUAGGAAGAAGCACUG
ensembl:lncRNA